UGGAUUACCCUUAUUCCCUCAAUUUAAAAAGGCAAUUGACAGACAGCAUUGUGUAUUUCACCCAAGAUUUUAGUGUUGUCUAGAUACCCAAAUAGCCCCUCAGGUUCAGUGGUAUCCAGUGUCCAGGGCUCUUCCUUGGCCUCUUGAACAUGGUGCCAUCCCCACUGGAGUCAACAGGGUUUGGCACGACAGGAAGUCCUUUCUUAUUUUUAUUCUUAUUUUUCAUUAAAUGUUUUGUCCUGUAUUAAUGGAAAUGAAGAGGGUAAGGAGAGGAGGGUCAAGGGAAGCAUAAAGCUAUAACUAUAUGAUAAACAUGGUAAACCUCCUUCUGCUUUGAAAAUAUUCUUUUUCUGGCUUAUCUUCAUAUGCUAUUUAUUCAACAUAGGUAUUUAAUUAUUCCACGAUUUCCACCUGCCUCUUUGACCUUUAAGGAUCACUGUGGUUUUACUGGGCUUAUUUGUAUAUUGUCCAAUGUAAUCUGCCUAUUUUACCUAUUAGGUGAGUGGAUUAGUACUCCGAUUGCAUUCUGCAGUAUUAAUUCUUCUUUGCCUUGAAAGAUAACACAUUCACUGAUUCCAGGGAUUAGGAUGUGAACA
rnacentral:lncRNA from 10 species